UCUGAUAUGGUGUAGUGGCUAACAUUAUCGCCUCUCACGCGAUAGCCCGGGGUUCGAUUCCCCGUGUCGGAA
rnacentral:tRNA from 1 species